rnacentral:rRNA from 1 species
GACGAACGCUGGCGGCGUGCUUAACACAUGCAAGUCGAACGGAAAGGCCCUGCUUUUGUGGGGUGCUCGAGUGGCGAACGGGUGAGUAACACGUGAGUAACCUGCCCUUGACUUUGGGAUAACUUCAGGAAACUGGGGCUAAUACCGGAUAGGAGCUCCUGCUGCAUGGUGGGGGUUGGAAAGUUUCGGCGGUUGGGGAUGGACUCGCGGCUUAUCAGCUUUUUGGUGGGGUAGUGGCUUACCAAGGCUUUGACGGGUAGCCGGCCUGAGAGGGUGACCGGCCACAUUGGGACUGAGAUACGGCCCAGACUCCUACGGGAGGCAGAAGUGGGGAAUAUUGCACGAUGGGCGGAAGCCUGAUGCAGCAACGCCGCGUGCGGGAUGACGGACUUCGGGUUGUAAACCGCUUUCGCCUGUGACGAAGCGUGAGUGACGGUAAUGGGUAAAGAAGCACCGGCUAACUACGUG